rnacentral:rRNA from 1 species
UAGUCCACGCUGUAAACGAUGAGUACUAGCUGUUGGAGUCGGUGUAAAGGCUCUAGUGGCGCAGCUAACGCGAUAAGUACUCCGCCUGGGGACUACGGCCGCAAGGCUAAAACUCAAAGGAAUUGACGGGGACCCGCACAAGCGGUGGAGCAUGUGGUUCAAUUCGAUGCAACGCGAAGAACCUUACCUGGUCUUGACAUCCUGCGAACUUUCUAGAGAUAGAUUGGUGCCUUCGGGAACGCAGUGACAGGUGCUGCACGGCUGUCGUCAGCUCGUGUUGUGAAAUGUUGGGUUAAG